AUUGAACGCUGGCGGCAGGCCUAACACAUGCAAGUCGAACGAGUGGCGGACGGGUGAGUAAUGUCUGGGAAACUGCCCGAUGGAGGGGGAUAACUACUGGAAACGGUAGCUAAUACCGCAUACCAUAAGAUGAGCCCAGAUGGGAUUAGCUAGUUGGUGGGGUAACGGCUAACCAAGGCGACGAUCCCUAGCUGGUAUGAGAGGAUGACCAGCCACACUGGAACUGAGACACGGUCCAGACUCCUACGGGAGGCAGCAGUGGGGAUUAUUGCACAAUGGGCGCAAGCCUGAUGCAGCCAUGCCGCGUGUAUGAAGAAGGCCUUCGGGUUGUAAAGUACUUUCAGCGGGGAGGCGUUACCCGCAGAAGAAGCACCGGCUAACUCCGUGCCAGCCGCCGCGGUAAUUC
rnacentral:rRNA from 1 species